rnacentral:rRNA from 1 species
CCCUUAGAUGUCCGGGGCCGCACGCGCGCUACACUGAAGGAAUCAGCGUGGCUUUCUCCCUGACCCGAAAGGGUUGGGAAACCCGUUGAAUCUCCUUCGUGAUAGGGAUUGGGGCUUGAAAUUGUUCCCCGUGAACGAGGAAUUCCCAGUAAGCGCGAGUCAUAAGCUCGCGUUGAUUACGUCCCUGCCCUUUGUACACACCGCCCGUCGCUACUACCGAUUGAACGGUUUAGUGAGGGCCUCGGAUUGGUCUCGGCCCGCUCUUUACCGGGCGGCGCCGUUGGUCGAGAAGACGCUCGAACUUGAUCGUUUAGAGGAAGUAAAAGUCGUAACA